CAAGAGAGGGGGUGGUGUGACAUCCACCUACGAAUGCAGACACGAUGGCUGGAAUGCAUUUACAUUACACUGAGAUCCGAUCACAAUGUGUCCUCGACUACCUCUGCACCAGGACACGCUGAUCAGAUAACAUUCAGAUCAGAAGCGCGUUUACACUUGUCUUUUCAAUGUGUAUGUGGACAACAUUCGAAUACAGUGAUUGACCGGAUAAAAGAGUGACUGGAGAACGUGGAAGGGGAGAGAGACUGAACUCAUUCGUGCUCGCCUAGUCUGAAAGCCAGAGAAAUAAGAGGAACUGAGUAAUUGUGAGACUGGCGACUGUCUGAAAGCGCAGACAAUGCAACUUUUGUGUUUUAUGAUUGUUUUCAUUGAAUAAAAACGCACCGCCGACCCUACCCUCUUCCUUA
ensembl:lncRNA